rnacentral:lncRNA from 1 species
GAACUGCGUCAGUGCCCCUGACGCCAUCUCGCCGCGCGGCGGCCGGGCCCCGCAGCAUGGCCGUGCCCGGGGAGCCGCCGCCGCCGCCUCCCGCCGCCGCCGAGCUGCCGUCCUUCGCCGCGGCCCGCGGGCUGGUGGGGCGGCGCUACUCGUGCCUGGUGGUGGCGCCGCACCGCCGGCACAUCGCGCUGCCGCCGCGCUACCUCGGCCACAAGCGCACGGGCAUCCGCGCCCAGCUGGACGCCGAGCUGCUGCGCUACUCGGAGAGCCUCCAGGGCGUGCCGGUGGCCUACGACAACGUGCGGGUGGUGGGGGAGCUCGGCGACAUCCGCGACGACCAGGGCUUCGUGCACCUGAACAUCGAGGCGGACUUCGUCAUCUUCAGCCCCAAGAAGGGGAAAAAAAUGGUGAUACAGGUUCACUGAACUGGACUGUAUAAAAAGAAUCAUAGAAUCAUUAAGGUUGGAAGAGACCUCCAAGAUCAUCUGGUCCAACCAUCACCCGUACUACCAAUAACACCCACUAAACCAUGUCCCUAAGUACCAGGUCCAACCUUUCCUUAAACACCCCCAGGGACGGUGACAUCACCACUUCCUUGGGCAACCCGUUCCAAUGCCUGACGACUCUUUCUGAGAAGAAAUUUCUCAAAAAUGGUUUUGAUUUUAGUGUAGAAAAUUUUACUUAUUUGCUAGAUAAACAGACUUCUAACUUGAGUGUAGAAAGUGUCCAAAGUGUCUAUAUAGGAAACUGAACAUGCAUCACCUAUGCAUUCAAAGGGAUAAUCUUUAAUAGAGCUUUAUAUGACAUUGUUUUUCUUUUUUAGGGUGUAAUUAAUAAAGUGGCCCCCAGUCAUAUUGGCUGUCUGAUACAUGGAUGCUUCAAUGCUUCUAUCCCUAAACCUGAACAAAUGUCAGCUGUAGAGUGGCAAGAGUUAGGGUUAAAAGUAGGGGAUGAACUGAAAUUUCGAGUAUCACACUUAGAUUCUGAUGCAGCUGGAGUGUUCUUCAUUCGAGGAGGACUGACUAAAACAAGUAUGCAGCCCAAAAUAUCUGAGAGCAUCACUGAUUGUGCAAAUGGAGAGGAAACUCAAAACCUUGAACAUGAGAAAAAUAGCUUGAAUGACUCUGGGGGAGUUAAUGUCAUGGAAGAGCCUCCAGAUGAGACAGGUAACACUGAGAGGGACAAUGCAGAAGAGCAAAGUGUUGAUCCUGUGAAUGGAAUAUGUGAUGAUAAAAACAAGAAGAAGAAAAAGAAAAAACGUAAGCAAGAAGAACAGCAACAGGUAUUGCCUGCCAGUGACUCUAGUGGUUACCAAAGUGACCACAAAAAGUCAAAGAAAAAGAAAAGAAAGCAUUGUGAAGUUGAAGAAAGUGAAUUGCCUCAACUGCCACAAGAACCCAAAGCUAAAAAAAAAAGGACUGAAGUCUGAAGUGCCUGUCUUAAAAAAGAUAUCAGAUAUUUUUGAUAAACUUCCAAUAAAACCCUAUUUUCAAAAUACAUGUGUAUUUCUUUACUAAACAAUAUGCUUUUCUGUGUGAGAUUGUUUGUGUGCAUAUGUGCAUCAACAGCUUUACAGGCAGCAGCUUUUAAAGAAGUGUUGCAAGAAAAAGGGUGGAGGCAGUAUGUGCAUGUCUUGACUGGAAAAUAAUGGAUAGAAUAUGAGUAUAGUAUAAUUGUAGGAUCACACAUAUCAUCUCUGCUUUCCAGCUCCAUGCAUUAACUAGUAGCUAGUUAUGAAUUAAGAUAAUCAAAUUUCAUCAUUGCUGCUGAGUGUCUUGAUUUUUGUAAGAGGAGUCUUAAUGUUCUGGGAUACAUUCCUGAAUUUUCAAGUGCUGAGAAAAGAAUUUUUUGUUGUUUUGUUUUUUAAUUGUUGGAGGGGAGGGAGAAGUAAUGGGCAGUGAAUGCCUGUGAAUGAAUCUGUGCAGCCUGACUUAAAGGUUAAUCUAACAGUGAGUGUAGUGGUUCAUUCAAAACAAAGCUUUGUAGGUACUCUCUAAAAAACAAAUAAACAAAAAGAGACUGGGCAACAUGACUCAGCACUGAAGCAGGGAAGAGAGAAGAUUAAUGUAAUCCGAUGUGAUGAAAUAGCAUUUGCACACUGGUUAGAAUAACACUGGUUAAGCUGCUAGUCGUGACAUAAUUUGAGAAAGUUCUUAUUUUUUAUGUAUCAAACUCAGAUGUAGCAGUUUUCAUUUAAAAAAAAAAAAAGGUGCAACUCUAACCACGUAUACCUGCUAUAACUUUAAAAUGUUGGUCUCUAGAAUAACAGGUGAGUGCAGUCAGUAUUUUCCAGGCUGUUGGAAUUAAUGUUACUGGAAAAUUAAGAUAAU